UCACUACAACAAAAACGGUCUAUAGCGACACUUUUAAAUGUAGGUACAUGUCAAAAAAAUGCUGCUAGCUAAAAUUACCGACACUUUUAAAAAGUGUUGCUAUAUGUGGGGUCGCUAGGUAUAUAGUGACAGUUAAAGAGUGUCGCUAUAACCUAAAAGAGUGCUGCUAAUUUACAAACACUUAUUUAAGUAUUUAGCAACCGCCGAAACUCUAUAUCGUUGGCUGCGGUGGCGGAGGAGAACGACAGGAAAGGCUCUUCGUCUAAAAUUUCAGUGGAUUGAGUGAAGAGAGAAGAAAAGAUGGUAAUUGAUUUUUCUCUUUUUUUUUUUUCUUUUCUGUUUGUAAUCGUGCCAAAUAGACCGGGUGUGGUGGGUUGAGUAGAGUAAUCUUUUAUUUUUGGUUGGAUUGGGCUUUAUAUUUAGGCAUUAGUAGAUAUUUUUUUAAAGUUUUAGCAUAAAUAGGACACUUACUCAAAAGUGUCCCAAACAUGUGUCGCUGUAAUCUAAUUCUGUUGUAGUGUUGCCACUUGCUCUAGGGACGGUCGGUAACUCAAUUCUAAUAAUUGCGCGACAAUUAUUUGAUUUGAUGUAGAAGUUAUGUGCCUCGUGAAACUCAUAACUGUUUCAAGCUGCUACUACAGAAAUCUCUAGUAACUUUUCUUUUUCUUUUUUUUUUUCUUCUUCCAACGGAGACAAACUAUUUAUUCUUCUGGGGCCAAAAGAGCCAGGAAUUUACCAACCCUAGUAGACAUGAAUGAAUCCCCCUCCAGAAUAUAAAAUAUAAAAUAAAAUAAAAUAAAAAGAAAAAAGAAAAGAAAAGAAAAGAAAAAAGUCUAUGAGCCAGCUCAUAGAGAGUCCUCAACUGCUUCUGCUUUUUUUUUCUCCUUUAGCAACCCCACAAGGCACAACAGUGCUUUUGAAGGAGUCCACACUUUGACUACAACUGGCUUGUGUUUUUCCCUAUCUCACCUUGACCUGUGUGCUUUGUGGUAGUGCACACAUUUUGAAGGCUCAAGUUUCAACUCCAACCAUGUGAGAUGGGUGGGUUAGGGCUUGUUUAAUGAAAUGCUAUUUAAAAGAUACUAUUAGCUAAUUGAAGCACUAUUUUUUAGUUACAUUAUUUACGUUUUCUCUUGGGCAGCUGAGUCAAAAGUUUCGCUUUUAGGCCUUAAAAUUAUAUUUGUCACAAUCUUUACUAACAAACUACCGAUAAUUACGAUCACUUGUGCAGAUUUUUGAUCAUUGGAUAGAUAUAUCUACGAGUUAGCACAAUAUGUUGCUUACUCCACUUGUUGUUAACUUGUUAUUGAACUGCGAUUUUAGAAGAACCACUUAAACAGGCAUAUGAUCACCAGGACAUAACUACUGUGAUAGCUUAAUUAACCUUAAUCGUGCUUAAGAACCAUUUAAGAUUCGCAUAAUAUUAGGAAUAAAUAGCCAGGAUCCAAACUAACCCCAUCUAAUAAUUGGGAGAGGAUAGUACAACCAUAAAUGACAAGCGUCAACAGAUCUCACCAGGGGAGUGUGGAAGAGAGGACCAUUGAAUUGGGUUCACGAGAUAGUGAUAUGGUGUGGGGGUUUAUAUAUAUAUAUAUAUAUAUAUAUAUAUAUAUAUAUAUAUAUAUAUAUAUAUAUAUAUAGAGAGAGAGAGAGAGAGAGAGAGAGAGAGAGAGAGAGAGAGAGAGAGAGAGAGAGAGAGAGUCCGGAUAGGAUACUAUCGAUAGCACAAAGAAUUUGGUGCUAUCGAGUUUUCUCCCGUUAGAUUUAACUCUUUAAUUAUUUUUACCCGUUAGAUUAUACUAUUCAACCAACCACUCACUCAAUCCUAAGGAGUUCACAUCAUCCUAACCACACAUUUCUUAAUCCAAGAGCUGAAAAACUAACAGUAUUUUAGCUAGUUCUCUCUCUCUCUCUCUCUCUCUCUCUCUCUAUAUAUAUAUAUAUAUAGAACUAGGCUAGAAUAUUAUUAAUAGUACUAAGUCAUUAGUGUUAUUAGGUUUUCGGCCCUUGGAUGAAACGAUAAGCGGUUAAGAUUAUGGUGGCUCCCUAGGGUUGAGUAGGUAGUUGAUUGAAUAAUAUGAUUUAAUGGGUGAAAAUGACCAAAAGGAGCGAAAAACUUGGUAGCAUCGAGUGCUUGGUACUAUCGAUAGCAUUGUAGCUGGAUUCUCUCUCUCUCUCUCUCUCUCUCUAUAUAUAUAGAGAGAGAGAGAUAUAUAUAUAUAUAUAGAGAGAGAGAGAGAGAGAGAGUGAGUCCAGCUACUAUACUAUCAAUAGUAUCAAACUCUUAGUAUUAUUGAGUUUUCUGCAAUUAGAUUCUUUGAUUAUUUUCACCCGUUAGAUUAUACUAUUCAACCAACUACCAACUCAACCUUAGGGGACCACUAUCAUCCUAACCGCACAUCCUUUCAUCCAACGGGCGAAAACUCAGAUAGCACAAAAUGUUUGGUACUAUCGAUAAUAUAAUAGCAUAUAUAUAUAUAUAUAUAUAUAUAUAUAUAUAUAAUAUAGAGAGAGAGAGAGAGAGAGAGAGAGAGAGAGAGAGAGAGUCCAGUGUUACUAUGCUAUAUAAUAGGCACGGAAGACAGUUGGUGCUACAAGUGUUCUGCCGGUAGUCUACGCAUUUUGAUCAUUUCACUCGUUAGAUCAUACUAUUUCAACCAAGCCACCUCACCACAACAGAAUUAGGUUAAUAGGGACACAUGUUUGGGACACUUUUUGAGUACAGUGUUCAUUUAUGACCGUAAACUUAAGAAAAUAUACUACUAAUCUUAAAGAUAAAGCCCAUCCAACCAACAAAUAAAAGAUUAACUCUAAACUCAACCCUACAAACCCAGCUCUAUUUGGGGCCUGAUUACUAAAUUCAGAAAAGAACCAAAGAAAAAAAACUCCAUUACAUCUUUUCUUCUCUCUCACAACUCAAUCUAACUGAAAAUUCUAGACGAAAGAGCUUUCCUUCGUUCGUCCUUUCCUCACCCGCCACGAGCCAACAGAGAUAGAUGUUUCGGCGGUGCUAAAUGCUUAAAUAAGUGUUUGUAAAUAGCAAGCACUCUUUUAGGUUAUAGCGACAACUCUUUAACUGUCAUAUAUAUUACCCUACGAGCCCCACAUAAUAGCAACACUUUUUAAAAGUGUCGUAAUUUACUAAGCAGCAGUUUUUUGACAUGUACCUAUCUUGAAAAGUGUCGCUAUAAAUGACCGUUUUUGUUGCCAUUUCUAGUGCCUAUUAAAACCCUUGGGGCCACAUCAUUCUAACCGCACAUCUUAACCAAUGGCCAAAACUUGGGUAGCACCAAUGAUUUGUGCUAUUAAUAGUAUUAUUAACCUAGUUAUAUAUAUAUAUAUAUAUAUAUAUAUAAUUAUAUAGAGCCGCCGGCUACUAUAUCUCUUAUAGCAACCGAACGUCUUUUGUUACUGCAUAAUUUUUUACCUUCGUUGUGUCUACUCUGUUAAUCAUUUUCACUCGUGUAGUAUUAUACUAUUCAACCACCCACACACGUCAACUCCUAGGAAACAUGGGCCCCUAUCACCUAACCGUAACACUCUUCAUCGCCCUACCAGCGCACAUUUUUCAGUCUCUGAACCGGUAAGACCGCGAAUUAGUUUAUGAGUACAUUAAGGCUCUAUACUCAUAUGAGUAUACGUCAGCCCUCACCCUAAAUAUAUAUAUACUGUAUAUAGCGCUGGGGCAACCUAUAGCUCUUAUGAUAUAACACAAUCCGUUCAACUCAUAAAUUUUUAACCGUUGAUAUGAUACGAGUAAUAUUGUAGCCUGGGUUAGGAUGGUGGUCUGAUUGGCUUCCCAACUUUAUGUAAUCAUAAUGUCCCUUAGGGUUGAGUGGAUAUGUUGGUUUGUAAUACUAUAAAAAAAAAAUUAACGGGUAAAAUGAUCAACUGGAAUAAUCUAAGGGCCGAAAUUAUGAGUAUGAAGAAAGACAAAUUUAACUCUAAAAAGUAUAAGUAGCUAAACUCAUCAGACAUAACUGAUAUUAAAAUAGACAUUUAUAUAAUAAAACAUAUAAUAUAUAUAGAUAUUAUAUUAUUAUAUAUAUAUAGAAUUAGGCCUACUAUGCUAUUAUGAGCACAAAGUCAUGUGCUACCAAAGUUGUUUGGCCAUUUGAAUUAAAGAGAUAUUACAUGGUUAGGAUAUGUGGCUCCUAACCGGGUUGAGUGAGUUGUUGGAUUGAUAUAGUAUGAUAAUCUAAUCGAUGAAAAUGAUCAAAAGGGCUACAUCUACGACGCGGAAAAAACUUGGUAGCUCAUAAAACAUAAUCUUCGUUGAUUAUUGGAAUCCAGACCUAGUAGCCGGCCGACUCUAAUAUAUAUACUAUGGCUUAUCAACAGGGCCAAAAACUUAUGAGUAUAAGAAGAACCAAAUAACCUAUAUAAAUAUAUCCCUUCGGACUCUCUCUCUCAUCUUCUCAGAUCGUUCACUAGGAUCCGAGUUAUUGCUUCGCCUCCAUUUUCCCCUUCAGUCCAUAUCCAUUACCAAUUCACAUUUACAAAGACACCCAUUAUUAUGACGAAUCAUCUAAAUAUCCAUAAUCAAAACCCUCUAACCCGUCAUACAAAACCCCAAGUUCGAAAUCCCUAGCUAUCGCUUUCAGGUCACCCAUCACCUGAAUUUAUACGGCAACACUCCCACAGCGUAAUAUAUUGGAAUAUUGAAUCGGAUAGCCAGAUAUUGGUCCAUCAUGAUAAUUGUAUUCAAAUAGCAGGCAGCCAUCGUCAGACAUAACAGUUUGACCAAUCACAAAUCAUCCUAGGAAAAUUCCUAGCAAACUUCCUAACGAUGUGAUUCAACAAUAUGAUUCGCGUUUCCUAGUAGAGCCAAGGCAACAGCCUUGCUCUUACUGCACCAAGGAAUCCAUCACUCCAAGAUAAACCAUACUGAGACGGACCAUGCUCUAUCAUCACGCCUUACAUAUCAGCAUCACAAUUUCCUUAUAAUCCUAAGUCCCUUGAAACAAAACGAAUCACGUUCCUUAAAUUCGAAGCGAUCCAUUGAGACUGCUGCCAAUGAAUAAGUUGUUGCUCUGCAAAGCUCAACUUUAGUCAAGUCAAAACAAAGCAGAUCCCCCGAUACCACAUAGUCCAAACUGAAGCACGUACUGACCUACUCAUCUCUCUUACCUUUAGUGCCUUAAGACCGAUGUGAUUCUUCUCUAUGGUAUCAAUCAUUUAACAACUGAUCCAUCUAAAAGUCAGAAUUUUAUAAGUUCUUAGACCAAACAAGAAGUUCAACAUCACAUCACUACCGAGCACAUAGCUCCUCAACAUGUCUAUUCAAAGUGAGAGACAACACUUAGUGUUGAUUACUCAUGAUGUCAGCCAAUAAUAUCGCGACGUAAGGAUAAACAAAUCCCAUCUCUUUCUUAAUAUAAAACAGUGCCCUUACAUGAUACGAUAGUAGGUAUGCUUACAUAAACCUGAAAUACAUAGCCGACUACUGCUGAGGACAAUAAAUGGAUUUUAAAUCACUAAACUGGUUUUUGUUGAUACCAAAACCUCAGGUUGACCUAGCAAUUCCCUCGCUAAUUCCCCGUGAGAAAGCUGUUAGAUCCAAUUGAUUCCAAAUCUAUCCUAAUAGAUAUCAAACGAAGAAUCGCAAAUCUCUCCAACGGGACGCAACCUCGUGUAUCUACCCUCCUCCUAAGCGUAGCUACCACGACCCUGUAUUAUCGAUUGAUCAAUCCCCUUGCCUUAAUUUAAACACAUUUAUUUUUCAAUAACUGAGAGGUCAAGCUCCAUUCCCAUCAUUGUCUGCCAUGAAGUCACUCAUCUCUAUCUUCAUAAGCAACCACACUGCAGCUCCGUGCACUCUAUGAUGUCUGCAAGCUUCUUUAUAAGAAGAGUCUCACGGCCAUACCAUAAAUAUUCCCCCUUCCGCUCAAAAAGUCCGGGCAGAAUAUUCCACUUUCACUUCUACCAAUGGAGGUCCGGAACUCGACUCAGUACUCAUUCAACAGCAUCAACUAGCCGAAGGAAGAAUACCGGCAGCUCUUCACUUCGGAUUCGAAGACAAUCCCUCUAACGUAAGAUAGGGGUUACGGCCUUACUCAUCAUCCGACGUUCUCCAUUUACAAUGCUUGAAAAAUCCUUUCUAGAAUUCACAUCACUGACCAAUCCGGUCAUAACCACAGCUGUUCCCAUACAUCACUACUCGAAUCCAGGUAUUGAAACACUGCGCUCGCUUUGGCGGUUCCCAGAUAUUUAUUGGCCUGACAUAUAACUGAACCAAAGGUGUAAUUAUAAACUUUCUCUAUCCCACCGAUCCGUCAUUGUGCAUAGAUCUGCACUUGUGCAUCGGAAACGAUUAGAUUGUAUCACUUGCAUCAUAAACAGUCUCUCCAAAAUUUAUAGAAUGCCACUUUAAGGUGCAGGUAUCUGCAAACAUUACUAAUAAAUACGUCCUGUCGUCGCAACAUCCAUUGUUCGAGUAGACCCGAAUAGGUUACUGUCGACAAUCUCCAUCUUCGCAUUCUCACAAAAAACUUUGAACUGAUUAGCCAAAGCAACAAUAUGUAGUACACCGCCCGCUGACUGAACUCCGCCCGAUCGCACCGAUUCACGGUUCGAUCCACGUCACUGGCGACGUACAACACCCGUCUCAUUUGACUGCUCCCGCCAAUCGCAACCCGCGUUCGCAGCAAUCUAACUUCAUCAAAUGGUAAACUAUAACACUAGACCCCCUAUCCAUAUAAAAUCAUGAAAGUAGAAAAUAGAACACAUAAUCGGUAUCCCUCACAUUCUGGCCAAUAAAGCGACGCGUACAUCAGUUCGCGCACAGCAGGUGCUCUAUUCUCUAUAUAUAAUAUCAUAUAUAUAUAUAUUAUAUAUAUAGUCCGACUACUAUACUAUCGUGCACGGAAGGCUCCGUGCUACCAAUUAUUUUGAUGGCGGCUGCCACUCGAUGAUCGCUCGUAUAACUUUGAUCUACUACUAUUGAAAAGUAUUUGGGAAACAAAUUUCAAAUUAUUUCAACAUAUUAUGAACUCAGUGAUCAAACGAUCUCAAAUUGACAAUUAUUGUCGAUGUGGGUGUUCUUGAAGUUUAACGGGUAAAACAAUCAAAUCGAUGAAAUUUUAUUGAAAAUUCUAUUUCCAUUAUUUAGUAGUAAGAUCAGUAUAUCUGAUCUUGAUUAAUAAUUUAUCAUCAUUUUUAUGAAUUUUAACUUUUUAGCCGUUCAAUUUAGAUAUACUUUUGUUGUGAUAGGUAAUAGUGAUCGAAAUUAUGAAAUUAAGUGUCUAAAUACUUUUAAUAGUGGUAGAUCAAGUCUAACGGCAGCCGAUCGUUGCGAUUUGAAAAUCGCAUCAUCGAAAAAACAACAUUGGUAGCAGCGGAGCCUCCCCGUGCUAUCGACAGUAUAGGCAGCCAGACAUAUAUAGUAUAUAUACUAUAUCUAUAUAUAUAUAUAUAUAAUUAUAUAUAUAUAUAUAUAUCAAUAUAAUAAUAUAUUAUACUAUAGUCUGGCUGGGGUACUAUCGAUAGCUACAGGAUUUGGUGGCUAUCGAGUUUUGUCGUCGUUUAGAUUUAAUUCUUUGAUUAUUUUUGCCCGUUUUAGAUUAAUACCUAUUCAACACCGCUACUCAGAAGCCCUAGGCCCCACAUCAUCCUAGACCACUCCAUUUCUCACAUCGCAGGGCAAAAUCACUAGCAGCUAAAUAGUUUGUGCUAUUGAAGUAUUAUCAGCCUAUAUAUAUACGUAAUACAAGCUAGGCUCGCUAUAUACUAUCGGUAGUCAUGUGACGCUCUCCGUGCUAAUCAAAGUUGUUUUCAAUGAUGCCGCUUCCAAAUCGAGAGAUUGGCAAAGGAGACUUGAUUUACACUAUUAAAAGUAUUUGAAACUAAUUUCCAUAAUUUUCGGUAUCAAUUUACCUAUUCAACUGAAUAGUCUAAAAAUAAAACGGCUGAAAAUAAAAUCUCAUAAAAAAUAAUGAUAGAAGACUUGAAUUUAAGGUCAGAGGUACUGAACGCUUACUCUAAAUAGUAAAAAGAAUUUUCUAUAAAAAUUUAUAAGCUGAUUUGAAUUUUUACAAUCCGGUUAAUUUACAAAUACAUACAUAUCUACAUUAAAAUUAUCAAUUUUGAGACCCUUUGAUACUAGCCAAAGAUGUCGAAAAUUCUGAAAUUUAAGAGUUUCCAAAUACUGUUUAAUAGUGUAGAUUAACUCUAAUGGCCGAUCGUCGAUUUGGAAGCCGCAUUCAUCGAAAACAAACUUGGUAGCAGGUAAGCCUCCGUGCCUACCGAUAGUAUAGCAGCUGAACUCUCUUCUCUCUCUCUCUCUCUCUCGCCUUCUCUCUCUCUCUCGCGUUCCCUCCAGUCAUCCUCUCUCUCUCUUCUCUAUUAUAUAUAUAUUUAUAGAGUCCGCCGGCUGCUAUCUAUUGAUAGGGGGCACCAACCACUUGUGCUAAUCAAGUUUUCUGGCGCCGUUAGAGUUAACCCCUUUGAUUAUUUUAACCGUUAGAUUAUACUAUUCACCAACUCACCCACCUCAACCUAAGGGCCCACAUCAGUCUAACGUUACAUUUUUUCAAUCCAAUUGGCUUAAAAAACUAAUAGGCACCAAAAGACUUGGUGCUAUUCGAUAGUAUUCCAGUCUAGUAUACUAUAUAUAUAGUAUAUAUAUAUAUAUAUUAUAUAUUAUCAUAUAUAGAAUACGCUACUAUGCUAUUUUAAUAGCACUUAAGUCAUUGGUGCACUAAUGAUUUUUGGCCAUUGAGAUCUAGCAGUAUGUGUGGUUAGGAUGAUGUGGGUCCACUAGGCUGAGUGGGGGUUGGUUGAUAGUAUGGACUAACGGUGAAAGAUCACAAAGGUAGAUCUAACGGCGGAAAACUGUAGUAUCCAAGUGCCUUGCGUGCUAUUAAUAGCAAUAGUAGCCGACUCUAUAUAAUAAUAUACUAUAUAUAUAGAGUAUAUGCCGGGCUACUAUACUCCUUGAUAGUAUAGACCCUUGUACUUAUAAAUUUUAACCAUUGAUUAAUGGGUUAUGGUAGGAUGAUGGUAGUACACACAACCGCACUUAAGAAUGAUAUGGUACCCAGGGGUUGAGUGGUAGUUUGGUUGGAAUCAGUAUGAAUCUAACGGAUAAAAAUGAUCAAUAAAAUAAAUGCUAAGGACGCGAAAGACUUAUAGUAUAUAGGAACCAAUACUCAUACAAGUAUAGUAGCGCAGACUCUCUCUCUCUCUCGACAGCUACUUGUGUCUCUCACCCAGGAUAAUCUCAUCUCUCUGCUCUCUCCUAUAUAUUAAUAUAUAUUAUAAUAUAUAGCCGUGAGGCUAACAAUAUGCUUUCGAAAGGCAAUGGAGCCUUUUUGUGUUUGCCAGUAUCGUUUUCGAUAGUUCGCGAUUUCGAAUGUCGGAUGGCUCCGUUAAACUUGAUUUAGAGUAUUUGACAAUACCUAGAAAAUAAACUUUAAAUGAUUUUUUGAUAUCAAAAUUUUGCCCUAGUGAAUCGAAGGAACUGCAAAUCAAUAAUUUUAAAGGCGCGUGGUGAGGCGUUUGCAAGUUUAAACGGUAAGACAAAUAUAUCAAUCACGUGCAAAUUUGAAUAGAAAAUUCUUUAAGCUAUAAUAAAACAAGAUCAAGAUUUUUGAUCUAGAAAUUUUAAUGUCAUAUAUCACGUUUUGUAAGAUUUAUUUUCAGCUGUGAUUUGAAUCCGCCUUAGUUCACAUAGGCAAAUUGAAUAUUGAAAAAUCAUACAAUUUAUUUUCUAGGUACUUUUCGAGUAACUUCCAAGAUUAGUUUAACGGAGCCAAUUCGACGAUGUCGAAAAGUUCUAUAUUAUAAUAUAUAGAUAUUAUAUAUAUAUAUAUUUAUAUAUAUAUAUAUAUAUAUAUAUAUAUAUAUAAUAUAUAUAUACUAUAUAUAUAUUCUACCACUACCUAGAGAGAGAGAGAGAGUACCUCCCCUAAACACUCUGUCUCUGUCGUAUUACUCUUUAUUAAAUAUUAAGGAGUGGGGUUAAAGAUGAAUAGAGUGUGGGAUAUACGGUUGUUAUCUGCAAAGGCAAUGCUGCUAUAUAUGUAGUACAUUUGUCCAAGGAUCACCUAAAAACCUAUAGACAAGGUAUAAAAUUUAUCUCUUCUAUAUAUUUACCUGCUAGUCUUAUUAAGUUUUUUAUAUCAAAAUAACAAUGCAUGUACAUUCCAAAAAAGGAUAUAAAUUUACACCCGACCAUCAAAAAGGCCCUUAAUUAUUGCAUUCUUGUCUCGUCAACAUUUUUCAAUUAUAUUAUUACAAAGGUUUUCAAGUCUGAAUCCUGCUAUGUUGCUAGUCUCGUUUUAUAAGAAAUUGUUAUUUAAAAGACCAUGAUUUUGAACACCUAGAUCUUCUGAUUGUCAUAGAACACAUCUAAUAAUUAGAUUCUAAACUUCAAAUGAUCUCUCGUAGAAUUUUAGAUGUGCGAUGUAUAAGAUAUAUCAAUAGGCAAUGUGUAGCGAAUAAUUUUUAGGGAGAAAGUGGGGUUUGAUUAGCUUCCCCACUCAUAAAAUGUUAUAUGAGGCAAGCUUGCCGAGAGCAGUACCGACUGCCUGCUGUACCGUCCCCAAGUCCUUGACGCUUGACCUGGUGGCAGCAGUUUUUACGAAAACAACGCCAGUGUCCGGUGACCACCGUUCGUUCGUAGUUCGUUCGCGCCAGUGUCCGGUCACUACCGUUCGUUCGUAGUUCGUUCGCACCUAACGUAGUUGGUUAAGAAUUUAAAACUAGGGCUACUAUACUCUUAUGAGUAUAGCUCAUUUUGUAUUCAUAAAUUUUUAAUUAUUGGAUAAAGAGAUGUGCGGUUAAGAUGAUAGCGGUCCCUUAAAAUUGAGUAGGUAGUUGGUUGAAUAGUAUGAUCUAACGGGUGGAAAUGAUCAAAAAAAUAGACCUAACGAUAAAAAAUUCAAGAGUAUAAAGGGCACUAUACCAAUAAGAGUAUAGUAGCCGGACUCAUAAUUUAAUGAUUAUUAUCUGAGUUGUCGAAUUCGAAAACUAGUUGUCCUCAUAGUAAAAUAAAAAUAAAAGGAUUAAUUGUAUACAGUUUUCUGUAAAUAUAUCGAAUGAUAAAUAAAUUCUUACAAAGUUCAAUUUUUUAUCUUUAUUCCUUUAAAAGUCUGAUGAUAUUGAUUUUGUUACCGUUAGAGCACAGUUUAUUUUUUUACAGUGGUUAAGUGAAAUGACAUUUUUAUCCUUAUAAAUUUAUCUCUCAAGAAAUUCCAACUGUUAGAAUUAUAUAGAAAUGUCAUCCUCAAAAAUAUUUUACCUAAUAAUAUAAAAGGGAUAAAAAAAAUCAAUUUAACUCAUUUACUAACUAAGAUUAAGUAUUUUACUAAUAGUUAACUAUAUUUUUCUAAUGGAUCCUAAUAGUAGGGGUAUAUUUGAAAACGAGAGGACUUUUGGAGGGAUAAAAGAUGAAAAUAAAAAAUUGAAAUUUGCAUAAAUAUCUGCUAUUCGAUAUAUGUACAGAAAGCUGUACGCAAUUAACCUAAAAUAAAAUUACAUGAUAAUUAAGUGUAAUAUUUUUGAACCACGGAAUAACAAAAUAAGAAUACGCUAAAUCACACAGAGUAGGGGAAAUUGAAGGUUUUUUCUUUAUUUAAUUCCCAUGUUAAGAAGAAUCACAGGAUAGGUGUGGACAAAGUGGUGUCGAGCUCGGGCCAAUGCUGCAGAUCUAAACUCAGACUUGGAUCAAAGAAAGAAUAUUGGAGAAUGGAGAUCCCAAGACAAGUUUGUGUGUGGUACCCAGCACACAUGCAUCAUGAUUCUACAUCGAGAUCCAACACAUAUACAUAUGUUCAAAAUUCAUAACACAACAAAAAGUCUCUUCCACAACAUAUUAUGUAGCAUCACAGAUCUAGAGAUCUAGAGAGAGAGAGAGAGAGAGAGAGAGAGAGAGAGAGAGAGAGAGUGUGGAGAAAUUAUUGCUUGGACUAUGAUCUACAUAUAUGUAGUACGAAGUUUCCAGAAACUCAAAUUUACAGAAUUUUAAAGUUAAAUGUAUACAAUUAGAUAAAAGGUACAACACAAAAGCUUCUAUCCUAAAAGUUAUACUCUUUUUACUUUCUAACUCAUAUUAGAGUUUUGAAUUAAUUUCAUACAGGUCUCUACUAGCAUAGUAAAUGACAAAUAUAUUUCUACAAAGUUCAACUUUUAUAUAUUGUCCAUACAAAAGUCUCGAUAUUUUCAAAUAUAUCCUUACCGUUAGAAUCCGUUAGAAAAAAUUAAUUCAAAACUCUAAUAUGAGUUAGAAAGUAAAAAGAGUUUUGAAUUAAUUUCAUACAGGUCUCUACUAGCAUAGUAAAUGACAAAUAUAUUUCUACAAAGUUCAACUUUUAUAUAUUGUCCAUACAAAAGUCUCGAUAUUUUCAAAUAUAUCCUUACCGUUAGAAUCCGUUAGAAAAAAUUAAUUAACCAUAGAUUAAAUACUUAACACUGGUUAGUUUUUGACAUUUUUCCUCUUUUUAUAUUAUAUUGUUAUGCCUUUUGGAGGGAUACAUUUGUGACAAUAAAAUUGAAAAUAUAAACAGUUUUAUAACGGUAAUAAACUAGAAGGAUAUAUCAGGGCUUUUAUAUGAAUAACAUAUAAAAGUUGAACUUUGUAGGGAUAUAUUUAUUAUUCAUUAUAUUUGUAGGGACCUGUAUGAAAUUAAUUCUAAAUCUUUUGACAAUAUCCCCAAUCAAAAGUUGGCUUAAAAGGCCGGAAUUUUGAUUUGUAUUUUUUUUUUUUUUUUUUUUUGAGAGAUAGAUAGCACGCUGUUCGUUUCGUUUAUUUCAUUUAGAAAUAAACUUGGUUGGAAAUGUGAAUCGACUAGGAUUUUGAUUUGUAUUUCAAAAUGGACUAAGCUAGAUAGGAAUCGAAUGAAACCCAAUCUAAGCAAAACUAAAUUGAAACGAGGCUUGACUAGAAUUAAACUGGAGCAUUAGCAUAAAAUUGCGGAUGGGAAAAUCGAACUCAGAAUCUCUUAAGAUGGAAGAAACGUAGGACAGGCUCUUAUACCAUAUUACGCAAAGGAUCAAUCCAGUAAUAAAUAAUCUAGAAUUCGUCUUAGCAAUUAACCUCCUUCUUUGGACAUCACGAGGUUCAUGAGCAUGGUUUAUCUAAUAUCCACGGUUCAUCUUAUAUUCACCAUGCAUGCGAUCAGAUUCGUAAUGACGAACUAAUCUUAAAUUGUUUCAUACUAAAUUGAUCUUUUGUAACAUUCAAGACAUCAAGCUUAGGAAUUUGGUAGAGGAGAGAGAGAGAGAGAGAGAGAGAGAGAGAGAGAGAGAGGGGUUUGUUAAUUAGGGUUUGUCUCUUCUUUGGUCCUCUUUCUAUAAAACCAAUUGCUUUUACUAUCUACUGCAGCAGCAGCAGGAAGCAGCAGCAGCAGCGCAUGGAGGGUCCUUUUUACACUGCCCAUUCCGCCAGUCUUCACAUGCCUCUCCAGGCCCCAUUCCCAGCCUGGGCCCCUGCUCCUACAAAGAGAAAUUGCUGCCCGCACCAACUGCACCACAUUACCUGUGACACACAUCCUUAGUUACAUUUUUUGUAUACAUGCAUGAUGCAUAUGCAUCUUAAAGAUCUUAAAGAUCAGAAGUAGUUUGAUCUCUUCCAUUGUAGAGCUUUUCUAGCGCUUCUAUAUGCUGCAAAAAAAUAAGAAUUGAGAUUCUAAUACCCAUAUAUACCCAUAUUCAGAAACUUCAAUUUGAUACUUCCACUGUUUUGCAAUAAAGAAGUCUUCGCAUUAACGUAAUCCCAAGGCAAACGUGCAGAGAGUAGUAUAUAUAAUUCGACUCGUAGGUGUUGAAUAUAAAAAUAUUAAAAAACUGUUCUUUAAGCUAUCGUUUAGUUCGGGAAAUAAGCUAUUUUAGGCUAUCCCUGGUAUAGGUACAACUUUAGUUAAUAACAAUUAGAUAAUUAAAUUAGUCAAAAUAUUAAUUAAUUAAUCAAUAUGAAUAUUGGUUAUGUCAAAUAAUUAAUUAAUUAAUUAAUAAUUAUUUAAUUAGCAAAUUAAUUAAAAUAAUAAAUUUAAUAACUCAAAUAGCUAAUUAAAUAUUUAUUAGAGUAAUAAAUUAAGUACUACAAUUAAUGAUUUUAUAAUAAAAAUAAUAUAUUAUAAUAUAUAACAUAUUAUGUCUAUAUAAUUUAAUUUUAAUUCAAUUUAUAAUUUAAUAAAACUUUGGAAUAGCAUUAUUCUACCAAAAUGGUAGAACAGUAAAUUACAAACUAUUCCGAAAUAGUCGGGAAUAGCAAUGUUUGAGCAGGAUAAAAUAUUUCAGCCCAAAUACACUCCGUUUGGUCGGAUAGUGGGAUAACUUUCGUUAUCCCUGUUUUAUCCCCGAACCAAACGGGGCCUGAUAGCUUAAAUUACAUGAAAAUAAUGUUUGCUUCAUGCAAUUUAACAUAGUAUCAGUGUAUGAGGUUCCGAAUUGGGAUUUCGUUUAAUUCAUAUCCCUAUAAAAAGUUUCAAUUUUAGAGGUGAAAAAGAGUGUUGAAUACAAAAAUAUAAAAGUACUGUUUUCUAACAGAUCAAAAUAUUGUAACACGCAUAUUUAUCUAACAAAUAAGCUUUUAUUUUUGAAGUAUAGGUGCACAUAUGGUGGUACAUCAAGUGCAAGCAAAAAUUUCUCCUACUACAGCAUUUCCCUUCUAAAAGGGAAAUUAGAGCUCUCAUUGCAUAUUCUCAAUACAAAUGGACCAAAUAGGUGUUCUAUAUAAUAAAAGAAAAAACUUCAAAUACCACCCUUAUGGUUUGGCACUUUUCGCUUUAGUACCCUGUGGUUUAAAAUGUAUCAAUUUAGUAUCCUGUGGUUUUGCAUUUUCUCACUUUAGUUCCCUGUGGUUUAAAGUAUAUCAAUUUAGUACUCUGUGGUUUCAUUUUUUUCUUUUCGUCUCAGCUCCUCUGUUAAUAUUUCUUUAAAUUAUAUACAAAAAACUUUAGAUACCCUGCAUAAGUUUAUUUAAUAUUUACUUUAGUACCCUUUUGUUUUAACUUUGUCACUGAUUUUUUUUUCCUCCAUUAAUAUUUCAUUAAAUUAUAUACGAAAAACUUCAGAUACCCUACAUAGGUUUAUCGAAUAUUUACAUUAGUACCCUUUAGUUUUAACUCUAUCACUGAUUUAAUGAAAAAAAAAAUAGUGAAAUAGAUAAUAAAAAGAAAAAAAUAAAACCACAGGGUACUAACUUGAUACACUUUAAACUAUAGGAUAUUCAAGUGAGAAAGUGCGAAGCCACAGGGGUUAAAUUGAUACAUUUUAAACCACAAAGUACUAAAGUGAGAAAGUGUGAAACCAAGUGCAGGUAUUUGAAGUUUACCCAUAAUAAAAAGAGUGAGAGUGUGUUGAGUACUUUAGAAAUUCUCUGUGUAGUAGUAGUAGGUUCCUUAGAAGGCUCUGUGUACAAAGUUGAGAGGGACGUAAAGCAAAACCCUUUUUCUUUUGCAGAGAGAGGCAUCAAAAGGGUGCAGGGGGGAGAUAAUGAGCAUGCAAAAUUUCAAUACAAAAGAAGAGUGGACAUGUAAAAUAAAAUACAAAAAAUAAAAAAAAGUAUUUUGUGUGCUUAGACACACUUUUUUGUCAGGUUUUUUAGUACAAUAAUUUUUUCCUAAAAUUUUAUUCUACAAAUAGAAAUGUUAAAUUUUUAUUUAUAAAUAUGGUCUUAUAAAAGCGGUGAAUGGUUCACCGCUUUUAUUCUUUUUUCACUCCUAAUGAGAAGUAAUGAAUACGGCGAAUCAUUCACCGCAUUUAGAAUUCUAUUUUUAUAAUUAUUUUUUAACAAAAAUUAUUUUUAUAAUUAUAAAAAUCGAUAGGAUUAUUUAUAAAUAAAAUUCCUUUUUUGUCUCUAUGCAACUCAGAACUUUGUCCUUUCCUUCGCACGCAAUGUUUUGAGGGGGAGUGCAUGGUCUUGACCGAAUCAUGUUGUUGUCAACAGGUUAAGCUGGAUCCAAUACAUUAGGGUGAUGAUAUGGUCAAUUUGGAGUGUUGUUUAUACAUAAAAACCUAAAUUUGGAACAUAGGUGCAUGUUUGUAAUUUACAUGUAUAUUAUUUUGUAGACAAUUAUUCAUUUGCAUUUUACGAACCGGUGGUCUGGUUGAAAAGUAUCAUCGGAUUCAUCGAGUCGUGCUUUUAACAAACAUUUGAAUGCUUAAAUAUGUGACUUUUUUUUUAUAGUUGCGUACUCUGGAGCUGGGAUAUCAACUACUAAGACUUUCGCAAGUUGCCCUACAAAUAAUACCAUAAAUUAGAAUGAACAACAGAGAAUUCCAGUGUGAGAAUAACUGAGUUCGAGUCACGCCCAUCCCUAAAUUGCUAUGACAAAAUUGAGCCACUGUAGGAGAUACUUGAGUUCUAGUUCCUGCAGUAAGGUAAGGUUCAGAUGCAGAGAAAAAGGCAAUCUAUAUGUUAUUAAGAUAAAAACAUCCGGGUCUUACCUAAAUUACGGAUCAUUUGAAUUUGAUUACUGAAUCUUUCAAAAUUUAGAUUUUAUUAUCUAAUUUUUCAAUUUAUUUUAGUUGAGUCGGUCAAUAGGACUUUGGCUCUAAAAUUUAAAUUAAUUACUUAUUUUUAUAAACUUAUAAUUAUAAAAAUUAUAUAAAAUAUAGUAACUAAAUUUGUAAAGAUAAAAAACACGCAUUCAAGUUUUAAAAUCAAAGUAUUGUUGACUGACUCAAAUCAAAUAAAUCGAAAGAUUAGAUAAUAUAAUUAAAAUUUUAAAAAGUUGGAUAGCUAGAUCCAAAUAAUCUAUAGUUUAACUAAGAUUCAUACGUUUUUAUCUAUUAUUAAAAUAAACUGAAAAAUCAAGAAGAAAAUGAGGUACCUAUCAAACUUGAGGCACCAAUAAUUUCAUUCAUUAUAUAUAUGAUGGGACCAAUAACAAAUUAAAUUUUCAUAUUUCAAAAACCAUCACUAAAAUUUAGUUUGGUACCAAAAUUCGUGUUUAUUUCUCUUGGCUUCUUCCUUUGGUGGGUCACGUACGAAAAUGUUUCUUUCUUUUCCAAACUGGAAAAAUUUUCUCCAUUUAUAUAAAUGAAAUAUUAGUUGUCUUUAGAACCGUAUUGGUGUUUUAAAUGUCAACUCUGUCCCUCUAGAUUGUGCUAUGUACUAUGACAAUUCAUUUAAUUAAUUUUGUCUCUCACUAAAAGUAGAUACAAAACUGUAACUAUUCAAAAGGAGAUGAACGAAACAAGAAGAGAUAGUAGAUCCAAAAGAUAAUUACUCGCGCUGAUCGUACCUAGCUAGUGCAGUUGAUCGAGGGUCUGAUAGCCCCUAUCUAAAGUUAUAAAUUCGAAAUUUAGUUAUUUUAUAUUUUUAGCUGAGUUCAUAAAUAUAUAUNGGAGAUUUAUAAACUUCACACAUGAUUUAUGAAUAAAUUAUUUGCACUACUUGUUCGCGAAGCUUAGUUUUGAUAAAUCCAACAUUACAGAUCUCAAAAUUUCUGAAUUAUUUUACUUUAUUUUCUACUUUUGUGAAACAUUUGAUUCAUCUGUACAUUCGUUCUCCGUGAAUUUAUGGGCAUUUCAUUUAUCUCAUUUUUGUUCGUCGUUUGCUUUCCAAUAUUAAAAGAACCAUAAUUCGCUAUGUAAUAAGAUUGAAAUAUGAGAUGAGAAAGUGUUUGUAGUCAACAAAUAUAAGUAUAUAGCCACCCCCUGUUUAAGCAAAUAUUUUUCUAAUAUAAAUAAAUAAGAACACGAGUUCAUAUAACUUUUUUUUAGAAAUUUAGAAUAUCAAAUAUCAAAUUUUAAAUUCGAGACCUAUAGUAUAGUUAUUUUGAAUAUGAAAGAUAGAAAUAUUAUUUUCUAGAAGUUUAAGCUUUCAAAAAUAUAAUUUGCUAAAAUUCAGAUAUAAAAAAAUAAUUUUAUCCUAUUUAACAAAGAAAAAUACUACUUGUAUAUCUAUAUACAAGUGUCAUUGAUAUAACUUCUUUUUUCUAAAAUGUAUAAAUAAUAAUUUUUUAAAUAACUCUUUAGAAUAUAUAAAAUAUAAAAUAUAUUUUUAGUCUAAAUAGGUGUUUGGUCUAACUUUUGAAAAAUAAUUUUAGGUCCAAAAGUAAUUUUCGGCUUAAUAGAGCGUUUAACAACUUCACUCAGUUUUCUAGUUUUCAAGCCCCAAAAUUAGAAACAACUAACACUUUGAUUUUGAAAUCUGAUUUUGAUUUCAAACACAAGGUUAAAUUUAUAUUUUAUAUUUUAUAUUUAAAUUCUUUUAAUUUAAAAUUUUAACUUUUAAAUUUUGAAUUGUAAAGUUUAAAUUUUAGAUAUUAAAGUUCAAAUCAAAUUUUAAAUUUCAAAUUAAAAAUUAAGAUAAAAUUUAAUUUUUUUAAAAAAAAUUAGAAUUUAAAAUGUGUAAUAUAAAAUUAUAAAUUUUGAUUUUCAAAAUUGAAAUUUCAAAUUUCUAAAAUUACAAAUUUAAAUUUUAAAUUUGUAAUUUUAAAUUAUAAAAUAUAAAUUUUAAUUUUAAAUGUUAAAUAUUCAAAUUUUAAAUUUUAAUUUCAAGUUUCAAAUAUAAAUUUUAAAUCCUAAAUUGAAAAAUUAAGUUUAAAUUUAAAAAAAUAAUUUUAAAAUAAUUUAUUUUUUAUAUUUUAUUAUAUUUUAAAUUAAAAUAUCGAAAUUCAGAUAUUUUUGCAAACUUAAAAUUUAAAAUUUCGGUUCAAAAUUUUAAUUUAAAUUGAAAUUGUAAAGUAUUUUAAAAUAAAAUUCAUAAAAAAAUUAUUGUUUACAAAUAGUAAAAAAUUUUUGCCAGAACAGUUUCUGUGAAAAGUUACUUUACAUAUAAACCCAACCAAGUACUGUACAACUUUUAACAAAAACUAAUUCUCAAAAUUGAAAUUAAUUUUACAAAAAUUUAUUUUUUUGAGAAUCUAUUCGAGGGCCUGGCCAAAUGUGUUCUAUAAGUGCGGACAGACAGCACGAGGAUGCCGAUUUGCUCUACAUCGACAAGCCAGCUGUCAUCCGAAUAUAAAUAUUUUUUAUUUUUAUUUUUAUUUUUUUUGGAUAUCAGUUUGACUUGUCAACCGCAUAAGACAAGUUCUUCUUUUUCUUGCGUGAGAAAAGCAAAGGACAUUGUCACUUUGUCCCUCGAAGAUCCUCAAUAGUCAACAUGGAACGUAGGUUUACUUAUUUAAUAAUAAUAACAAAUUAUCUUAAAAUUUUAUUUAUAUAUAUAUUUUUUUAUUAGGGAUGUACAUUUUACGCGACCUCUCAGUAAUAUAUUCACGAAAAUUUUAAUAAGUUUUAGGCUUCGUUUGAUUCGGAGUUAAGUAGAAACUAAUUAUUUCAGGAAUAGGGUUAAGUUCAGGGUUAAGAUAAGGUUAGAAAAUUUUUUUAUUUGGUUGAGAAUUGGGUUUAGUUCAGAUAUAAACAAAAUAGUGUUUGGUUGGAAUAGGUGGAAUAAAAAGGUUAGUGGGUAGUUAUAAAUAUAAAAUAAUAAUUUUGCCCAAAUUAUUAUAUUUGAAUUUAAAUUUUUUAUUUUAUAUUUAAAAUUUUAAAUUUAAAUAGAUAAUUUUUAAAAUUAAAAAUUCAAAAUUAAACCCUAUAUUUUUAAAUCUCAAAUUUAAAAUUUUAAAUAUAAAAUAUUAAAAUUUUUAAGAUUAUAAAUUAUAAAUUUUUAAAAUUUCAAAUAUAAAAUAUUAAAUUUAAAAUUUAAAUAAUUAAAAAUAACAAUUUAAAAUUUAACAUUUUAAAAAAUAAAUAUUAAUUUUAAGAUUGCAAAUUAUACAUUUUUAAAAUUUUAAAUGUAAAAUGUCAAAUUUAAAAUUUAAAUAAGUAAAAAUAAAAUUUAAAAUUUAAAAUUUAAAAAUAAUAAUAUAAAUUUUUAGAUUAAAAUUUAUAAAUUUUUAAAAUUUAAAAAAUAGAAAUUUAUAUUUAUAUUUAAAAAUUAAAUUAGGGUGGAUUAACUUAAUCCCAUCCCAAUCUAUUGAAAGAUUAAGGUGUAUGGUUUAGGGGACAAAAAUUUUGUGGGCACCGUCCCCAAACUGACAGUGCGGAUGGGCGCCAUGUGGCCUGUCCAACGGCCACCCAGGAAAGAAAAAAAAAAUAAAAAAUUAGCGCUAUAAACAGUGUUUAUAGAGAGAAAGUAGUAGAGGAAGUGAAAAGACAACCACCCGAUGAGUCACAUGGCGUCCAUCCGCACAGUCUCCUCAAACUAUUAGUCAUCUAAAUUUUUAAAAUUUUUAUUUUACUAUCUAAUUUUUUAAUUUGUUUGAUUUGAAUCAGUCGAUAGCACUCUGACUUCAAAUUUAAUAAUGGACUAUUUUGAAUUGACUUUUAAAAUUUUACUUUUAUUAUCUAAUCUUUUAAUUUAUUUGAGUUAAGUCGGUACUCAAUAAUACUUUGGCUUCAAAUUUUAAGUAAAUUACUUAGUUUAGUAAAUUUAAAGUUGCAAAAAUUGUAUGAAGUAUACUAACUAAACCUAUAAAGAUAUACGUUAUAUUUGAAUUUUGAAGUCAAAAUGCCAUUGAAUGAAUUAAAUCAAAAAUUGAAAUACUGGAUAGUAAAACUAAAAUUUUGAAAAUUAAGUAGCCAAUUGAAAAUGGUCCAUUAUUCGGAUAAAUUCUAUACUUUUUUAUUAAAUUUUGUAUAAAGUUAGACAUUAAGAGUUCAUAUUUUGAUCCUCAAAAUAUUUUAACUUUUAUAAUUUUGUUAGAAAGCAUAUUUUUUCUAAGAGCGUUUUAUCUUAUCCUCAAAAAAAGAGUGAUGGUGAUAUAUUGUAUAAUCAUUUAAACAUUUAAUCACACGUCUCAUUUACCAAAUAUUUUAAAUAUUUCCUGUGAAAAGUAUAUCGCAGGAAUACAUCAAAUAACUUGUUCCUAUAAUCAAAUAGCGCAUACUAAGUCAUAAUUAUUAUCAAUUUUUAGGAUAACUGUUGUAUUUGGUAAUAUUAAAAAUAUCUUCUAAAAUGUGUAAAAGCUUUUUAAAAAAUAACUAAUUUUUUACACGAUAGAGCAUGAAAUGAAAUGCUGAGCUCGAAUUCUUAUGAUAGACUCUCAGUUUAAUUUAAUUUUAUCAUAUUCUUCUAUUUUAUUUAAGUUCACAUGUUACAUCUCUCCGAAAUGUAGAAAUGUAUUAAAUGCGGGUUCUCCAACUUAUUUAAUUGUCAAUUCUUAUAAUAUUAUUGUACAUAUAGCUACUGUUUUCUACUAUAGUAAAGGAGGGUUUGCGGGGACCGUAGAAUGACACAUGUCCCCGCGGCCCUCCCUUUUUCUCUCUUCCUCUAUAAAUAUAACAAUAUAUAAUAUAUAAAUUUUUAAAUUUUAAAUUUUGGAUAUCAAAAUUUUUAAUUUUUAAUUUUUAAUUUCAAAUUUGAAAGUUUCAAAUUCCAAAUUUCAUGUUUCAAAUUCCAAAUUCGUAAAAUUUUCUAAUAUUAUUUUCAAAUUUUAAACUUCAAUUUUAAAUUUUUAAAUCUCUAAACCCCAAAACCUUAAACCCUGAACCCUAUAAAAAAAUUAAUUAACUGUAUAUAUAAAAUAAUUAAUUAAUUUUAUUAAUAGUAUAUUUAAUAAAUUACAUUAUGAAAUCUAAUCCAAUGGAUACCUAAAUCACGUAAAAUGUCAAUGUAUAAAACAAAAUUGCAGAAUUUAAAUUUCUAGAAUAAAAUAUUAGAAAUAUAGUUUGUUUCUGUAUAUAUAUAAUUAAUUAAUUUUAUUAAGCAAUUUCUUCCACUAUUUUAUUUCUCUUUUAUUUAUUGAUGUAUUUAAAUUAUUUUAAUAGAUUUUUCUCAAAUCUUUUUUACAUAAAUCUUUAUGAAACAAUUUAAUUACUAAUAAGCUGUAAUACAAAUUUACGUUUGCUGCACAUAUACCAAUUUUAAUCAGUUUUAUUUUAAUAGAUAUAUAUAUAUUAAGUUAUUAUCCACGCCGGUGAUUUCAUUUGAAUAUUAAUUAUUAUAUAUUUUAAUAUUUAAAUAUUAAAAUUUAAUUAAAUAAAUAUGAUCUAGGGAUUUCUCGCAUUGGAUUACAUUUUAAUAAGUUUUGAGAAAAGAAAAUCUAUUUACUGAAUAUCAAAUAGUUCUCCCGUGAAUAACACGCAAAUAUUAUAAUUGUAUAAAAAAAUAGAAAAAUCAAAAUAUAUAACAGUAUUAUUACCUCAAAUACGUACGCUGAAAUAUAUAAAUUUACCAAAACUAUCACCUGCUAUCUUUUGAUUUGACUAUCUAAUCUUUAUAACUUUUUUUUUUUACUAUCUAAUCUUUUAAUUUACUUAAUUUGAGUCAAUUAGUGACUUUUUAACUUAAAAAUUUGAAUACAAUAUUGUUUAUCUCUAUGGGGUUUAGUUAAUAUAUUUUAUGCCAUUUGCGCAAUUAUAAAUUUAUUAAAAUAAUUUGUAUAAAUUUUGUAUUCAAAGAGCCAUCAAAUUAUUUAAAUUAAAUAAAUUCACAUGUUAGACACUAAAAUCAAAAUUUUAAAAGUUUGGACAGUCGAAUCAAAAUGAUCUAUUGUCCAUGUAAAUUCUAUAUAUUUUUUUCAUCUGUUGUCUUUAAAAUUUUCGACCUUAUAACCAACUUUCAAACAUUUUAGCCUAUUAAUCAGGUAUUUCACUAACAAAAAUUCUUAAUAUUUAAAGGCUAAAAUAUAUAAAAUUUUUCUGUAAAUGUCUUUUUUUAAUUGUUUCCUCUUAAAGUUCAAAAAUCUAUAGUUUGACUCAUUCAAAUUACAUGAGUAUUUUCAGUAGAAUACAAUAUUAAUGAAGAGAAUGCAGUGACCAAAUUCUCCAUAUUUGUUUUACAAGAUAAAAAUAAUUUUAAUAUAUUUUUCUUAUUUUUCAAUAUAAUUUUAGUGUAUUAUGAAAUUAAUAAAAUAAUGAUAGAAUUCUAACGGAGAAAUACUAAAUUUAUUAAUUUAAAAUUUUAAGAGGAUAAAUUAUAAGAAAUGCAGAUUAUUGAAAUUAAAAAAAAAAGGUAUAAAAACCGUGUAUUUUCAUAAUAGUGUUAUGCAUUUUAACCAUAUUUAAAUUUUAUUUUUUAAAAAAAUAUUGAAAGAAUUAUUAUUAUUAUUAUUGACAAAGUAUGCAUGGAGGGGAUACGGCGAUACGCAUACUACAGAAUCUCUUUGACUACGACGCUAAUAAUAAUUCCUACACUUUUUGGACCGAUGUGAUGGGACUUGGAGGGGCAAUUUCGUCAUUUCGCAAGUCUUUUAAAAAAAAGGGGAAAAAGAAAGGAAGAGGCGGGUCCCACUCCCCGCGAACGGGAGCGCGCCUCCGCCGUUACGGUCGGAUUUGUGGCGGGAAGAGAUCGCCGCGCGCCACGUGGCACCACGAAACGCGUCUUUUUUCCCCGUCCUGUUUCGCGCGCCGGAACCGUACGGACGCCCCCAAAAAAGCCCCAAAAGAAAAAUUGAAAAAAGCGCUCGCGGGCGCAGAUCCGGCCGUCCGAAGGAGGAGAGGAGAGGACACGUGGACGGUCGCGAUCGGGAGGGAUUAGCUGGACAGCAGGAUGGCCACGUGGGCUCCGGGUGUUUCGAACGGCGGGACGGCCACGUCACGAUGACGGCAGCAGUCGCGACGUCAGAGUCUUGAUCGGCCUCCGGAGGGGAGAAUGGACGGACGAGAUCUCGAGGCGAGGGUAAAAGGACGGACGAGGCGCGUUGUCCCCCCACAUCGACCAUGGCGAACCCCAAAGAUCGUAAGGGCUGAUAUUCUCACGCCGCCCUGUUUAUCCUAACAUCGCGCUUAAUCCUACGUAGAGUAUCCCACUUUAGUAGUCGUAUAAUAAUCUAAAAAAUACGGAGUAACGAUAUCCGCUCCCGGUGGGGCCCGCAGUACACCUCUGUCGGGGGACCACGUGUCGUGUUUUCAUUAGCUAGCGACGUCCUUGGAAACACGAUCGAGAAUUAGGGAACCAAAAAGAUUUGCAGCCGCGAAAUUCCCAUUAUACCCCUCACACAACACUCCAUUAAUCACGACCGUUCAAUCACUAUAUAAAUAUUAUCACUGUACUAUAGCUUAUCAUUCCAUACCUAAACUCAAAUACAAACGUCUUUAAUUUAAUACAUUUACCUAUCGGAUUCUAACAGCAAUGACAGCAUGUUUAAAAAUAUUAAUAUUUUUAUAAGAAUAAUAUAGAAAGUUAAAUUUUGUAAUAAUAUAUUUAUAAUUUAUUGUGUUUGCAAAAAACUGUAUGCAAUUAACUUUUUUUUUUAUGCACUGUAGUUGCAUGUUUGAUUUUGUGCGGUUCAAUUUAACUAAUGCAGAUACAUGCAAUUUUAACUUAUACUGUAUUUUAAAUAACAUGCAACCAAACAGCUUCUUGUAGGCUAUUGCAAAACAAGCGCAUUACAAAAAAUAUAGAUCAACAACCCACCACCACACAUUUAUACUUAUAACAUUAUUUCUCCUACUAAAAUUAUGACAACUUCUUCAUUAAUUGUUGAAUGUGAACUCUAUCACAAACCUACUCAAUUCGUUACUCUUCUUUUUUCGGCUAUUACCUUCGUUCAUCAUCGGUAAAAUAAAUCACACCCAUUAACAUCACUUUUUUCACCGUUGUUUUCUUCUUUUUUUUCCGACGUUUUUUAUCCGUCGCAUAGCACGGUUAUUACGCUAGCGGGCAUCAUUAAGACAAAAAAUAACAGAUUAAUUGUACGGUGACUAAUGAUAAGAAAAAAAUAAUUACGGAUUACCAUUCCUUAAAUAUUGCAUCAUUAAAAGAAUUAUUAUUGUUAUUUAUAAAUAGAGACUGAGAGGAACAAAAAGAGAGACGAUAAUUUAAAAAAGCCCAAAAUCUAUACUGAGUGCCAGAAAGAUCUAGAAGCUUCAAAUCGCCCGGGAAAUGUUUACGAACACGAUCCAUCUUCACCGGUGUCUAUACGCGCUGUACAGCGGCUCUCCGCUAGCCGGCGCCGUUUCGAAGGCGGCGGCUCAUCGCGAGCCGGCUCCGGCUCCUUUUCGGGGAACGGCGGCGGCGCGGCGGAGGGAGACGAUUUUUGGGUGUCGCAGCUACCGCAGGCGGCGGCGGCGGCGUCGAGGACGCCGACGGGGCUCGGCGGCGGCGUCGGCUCCGGCUCCGGCUCAGGCUCCGGCUCGGGGAUCGGCUUCAGGCGCCGAUGAGCGGAAGGACACGUGUCGAUCAGGUACUCCUCCAUUAGCUGGCGACAACCGCGCACCACGUCCUGCGAAGCAUAUAGUUUUUAGUACCAGUACUUUGAGGGGCGGUGAUAAUACCCCAAAUUUUUUUUUUUUAUAAAAAAGUAAAUAGCUAAAAUAUUAUAUAUAUNUCCGAUAGCAUAGUAGCCUCACUCUAUAUAUAUAUAUAUAUAUAUAUAUAUAUAUAUAUAUAUAUAUAUAUAUAUAUAUAUAUAUUUGUUCUUCGAAUUGAGUAGAUAUGGUUGCGUCGGUUCACCGCAUCCAAAGUUACCACCGCACCACGUUCUCAUAUUUGGAUAAAAUGCAAAAGAAGCCCUGCACUUUCAAGCAAUUGCACCCUCCCAUGCAAAAGAUUUGUAGCCAACCAAUGUGUUAAAUUUUAGAGAAUAAGUAUAAAAAGUUAUCGUUCGAAUUUUAAAUACUUCGCAAAUGAUUUGAUUUUAAUCAUCCUCCACAAUAGACGUUGGAUUGAGAGUGCUAGGACUAUAUGCAUUUUGCUUUUUAUUAAUGAUUUUAUUGUAUCCUAUAUAUUUAUAUGUAUGACAUCGUAAAAUUAUUUUUCAAAAAUUUUAAAAAAUUUAUCUUUUUAUGUAAAAUAUCAAAAUACCGAAGAUUUGGAUGCAUGCAGGAAUUGAGACCGCAACCGAAUAGCCCCUAACUUUUAUCUGCAUAUUUGUGAUGGAAAUUGAUAUUUCCAAUGCUAAUUUUAUAUUUGAUAGAACAAAUUUAAAUCAUGAUUAAACACAAUAUACUUAUUUUUUGGGGGGUCAUGUACUCAUGUUAAGAUGAUAAUCUACUACAUGUUAUUAGCUUUUAGCUGAUGAAAAAUUCAAUUUCAUUAAUCAUCAAUCACUACUGAUAGGUGAUCAAAUGAUUAAUUUUAGAAAGAUAUAUUUAACUAAAGUUAACCCAAGGAAGCAAUUAAAAGUCAAAAAAGUUUCAAUAAAAAUUUAAAAAGAGAGGUUUAUUUAUUUAUUUAAAAAUAGACUUUAGUUGCCAGGUCACCACCAUAGAUUCAACCUUUCUUUUUUAUUAAUAAUAAAGUAUUGCCUCUUCUCACUUUGCAAAAUAAAGGAAAUUAUAAUAUCUUCGCAUUAAAAUUUUGAGACAUUCUUAUUGACCCCAAAAAGUGUAACUUUAAUUUUUUUUAAGGUAAAAACCUUAAAUUAAACUAAUGAGUUUUUAAUUUAUAUUCGAAACAAAUCACGCAGAGAUGCAGCGCUCGGUUCAUGAAAUAACUUGUGUACUGUACUACAUAUCAGGGUCUUAAAAAAAAAAAAAAAAGGAAAAAAAGAAGAGAAAUAUAUAUAAAUCCGUUUCCAGUUUUAAUUAAAAGAAAAAAAAUAAUAAUAAGAAGACAAGUGGUGGGUUGAUGCAAAAGUUUAAGAGGACCAAAGUGUGGGACAGGAAAUGGUGUGAGGACCGACGUGCAAAUUUAGCCAGAGAGAAGAAGAGGACAAAAAAAGUGAAGGGAAGGAGAAAAAAAAAGGUUUAAUCUUACCUUGCUGACCCACUUGGCCAAAGAGGUCGCCAAUUCGUCGCCGUCGCAGCCGGGCGAGGAAUCGCCGAUCUCGCGCGCCGCGCACAGCACCGCCGACGCCGCGAUCUCCGACGCCCGAUACCCCAAAAAAUCCACCACUACGUACACCAAAACAUCAAUUAAUUAAUUAAUUAAUUAAUUCCAACAACAUUAAUCAUUAAUACAUGGAUGGAUCGAUCGAGAGAGAGAGAGGGAGAGAGAAAUUGGGGGGGGGACGCACCGCGGUGGGCGUUGAGGACGAGGGAGGAGGCGCGGGCGAGGAGGAGAGGGGGAAGGGGGGGGCGGCGUGGAGCGAAGUGGGGGAGGUAGUCGAAGGGGGUGGGGGAGCGCAUGCGCCAGGCGAGGGCGGACAUGAGGAGCAGCUCCAUGCGGCGCACCGUGCGGGGGUCGAACACGCGCCGCGGGCCCUCCUCCGCCGUCUGCAGCUCCAGCAGACCCGGCACCUGCGUCUCCUCCAUCUUCGCCGCCACCCACACGCUCGCCACCGACACCAGCUCCGUCGCCCACCCCUCCCCUCCCCCCUUCAUUUUCAAAACACCCAAAAAUAAAAAUAAUAAUAAUAAUAAUUUAAAAACUUUAAAAUAGAGGAGGAACACGUACCAACUACCAACACCCAAAAAAACAAAAAAAAAAAAAAGGAAAAGAAGAAAAAGAAUUGAAUACGUAGGUUAAUUGGAUGGUUACCGGGAGGGCGCGGGAGGAGAGGAAGCGGUCGAGGUAGCUGACGGCGAGGCACGGCGUGACGGGGCGGAAACGGUAGAGCUCGCAGACCUUGAGGAUCCAGUUGACGGCGUCGUGACGGGAGGUGGCGUCGAGGGAGCGGUCGCGGAGGCGGGAGAGGUAGUCGGGGCGGGGGGAGUGGUGGGGCUCGGCGGCGAGCAUGACCGACACGUGGCGGUCGUCGGGGGCCCGCCACUCGUCGCCGUCGAACGGCGCGGGCGAGGGCGAGGGCGAGGGGGAGGUGGGAGUGGAGACGAUGGGAUGGGGAUGGGGAUCGGGAUCGUGCGGCUCCCAGGAGGCCACGUCGUCGGCGUCCUCGGCGCAGAGGAGGAGGAGGUUAGAGGAGGCGGAGGAGGGGUCCGAGGGGGAGAGCGCCAUGGGGAAACGGGGCGGCGGCGGCGGGGGGAAACGGAACGGGGCUUAGGGAAAGGGAAGCGGCGGGGUCAUGGGCGUUUCCCGUGGCGAGGAAACGGGAGACGGGGUCGGGCAUGGAAAGAGAAAGAGAAAGAGAAAGAGACACCCUCUCUCUCUCUCUCUCUCUUCUUUCUCUCUCUACUCUCUUCUUUCUCUCUCUACUCUACACUACUCUACUCUCUCUCUUUGGAGUAGCGUCUUAGUGUGUGCGUGGUCUUUUUGACGGCGUCGGGGGCAAGGGCGUGAAAAAAGAGACGGAGGUGUUUCUGCGUGGACCGCAGAGCGGAAGCGGUUUCGGUUGGGUAUUUAUAGCAUCUUGUUUCCUUUAUAUGCUUCUUUAUAUAUACGGAAAACUUUAAAUACCACCCCCUCUAGUUUUACACCUUUUUUAAUUUAGUACUCUAUAAUUUAAAAUAUAUUAUUUUUUAUCUUAUAAAUUUAUUUUUCGCUUUCUUUCUGAUAUUCACUCUAUUAAUUUUUUUUUAUUAAAUCAGUGAUAAAUUUAAAAUUAUAGAAUAUUAAAGUAAAAAAUUUAAUUAAUCACAGGAGUAUUAAAGUGAUUAUUCAAUUAAACAUAGCUGGGAGAUUAUAAGUUUUUUGUAUAUGAUUUAACGAAGAGUUAAUAAAAACGUUGACGAAAAGAAAAAAAUGAAAGCAAUUGUAUUAGAGUGAUAGUUUCUAGGUCAUGCGAAUUAAGUGGGCCAAUUUAAUAUUGUAAUUGAACCCUGACUAAAAAAAUAAACGGAGCAAUCAUUGAAUUUCGGCGAAAUAAACAAACUUUUAAAUAUAGAGUAUUAAAGUAAGAAAAUACGAGACUCCAGUGAUGACAUUUGAAGUUUACUCUUAUAUAUUCGAAUAAAUGAUGGAAAAUAUGAUAUGAUAUGAUAUGAUAUGCUCUUGAGGCACCAUUUUUUCAUGUAGAUCCCUCUAAAAAAUGAGAAUACCAUUUCUAUUGGCUUAGUUUCGAACCCGUUCCUCUGUUGUUCUCCUUGCAGUUUAGUCUCAAUAAUUUCAUACUGGAUGAGAAAAAAUUUAUGUAUAAAAAAUAUGAGGAUCAUGAAUCCUAAUAUAUACUAAUAAGUAAUUUUAAGUAUUUUGUACUAGUGAUUUAGUUCCGAUAAAUUAUUAGUCGAUAAGUUAUUAGUGCUAAUAGGUCAAAUCAUUACAUUAUGUCUCGAUUCAUAUCAACUAAUUUAAUUCUCCUUUGUAGUUUAGAGCUUGUUUGAUUUGGGGAAUCCCAAAAACAAAUUUACUUAUUUCAAAGAUAUUGUAGGCCUCGGUAUUUGCUCUCGCACUGAAAUCAUAAGAUCAUUCAAACCGCCGCUCAUAAUUAUAUGGAAAUUAGUUUUUCAAUUUCAAAUUUGUGAAAUUUACAAAUUUUAUUUUUUGUUUAAUUUCCUUCAAAAAGUCUCUUAGGGCGUGUUUGAUUCACCCCUUUUUCACCUGGAAUUGGAAUCAGAAUCGGAAUGGAUGAAUCCAUUUAUCCUUGCUUGAUAUAUGGAAUUUUCAUUCCGAUUUCGAUUUCUGGGUGAAUGAGAAUCCCUCCAAUUAUCCCUUUUUCCAAUCCAGCUUAAAAGGCCAUAUUAAAAAUUAAUUCCGAGCGGAAUGGAUUUGUUCAGCUUAAAUUUAACUUUGUUGAGUUUAUUUUUUAAUUAAAAUAUAAGUUUAAGAUUAAAAAUUAAAAUUCGAUCAAGUAUUUCGAAUCUAAUUUAUAAAUUUAAAUUUAAUUUAAAAUCUAAAGUUUUAUUCAAUUUUUAUUUAAAAUUUAAAUUUAAUUUAUGGAUCCAAAUUUAAAAUUUAAAUUAUAAUUUUUUAAGUUUGAAUUUGAACAAAUCGAAAUUUAGUUUUAUAUUUUGAAUUAUCCGUUCAAUUGCAAAUUUUAAUUUUUUUUAAAAAUAUAUUUAAAAUUUUGACAUUAUUUUAAAAUUUUAACGUAAAUUUUUUAAUAUUUAAUUUUCAGUUUGAAUUUAAACGAAUAUAUUAUAAAGAUAAAAUUGACAUAUUAAUUUAAUUACAUUUUUUAUAUCUAUCUGAACCAAACACCGAUAAUGAGAAUCGUUAAUUCCGAUGCCGAUUCAGAUGACGAACCAAGUAGAAGGAGAUAAUAAAUUAUUCUGAUUCUGUUUCCAACUUAUUCUCAUUCCUAUUUCGAAACAAACACAUUCCGGGGUAUGUUUUUAACUUUGCCGGCUCUUUUUGGAAAUUGUUAUUUGACUGUUUGCAACUUUGAUUUUAAUCUAGGAAAAACUUCAAAUACUCCCUUGUGGUUUCACUUUUUCUCACUUUAGUACCCUGUGUUUAAAGUGUAUCAAAUUAGUACUAUGUGAUUUUGCACUUUUUCACUUUAGUACUCUGUGGUUUAAAGUGUAUUAAAUUAGUAUCCUGUGAUUUCGCACUUUCUUACUUUAAACCACAGAGUACUAACUUAAUACAAAAGUAAAACCACAGGAUGCUAACUUGAUAUAAAAAUAAAAUCAUAGAGUACUAACUUGAUACACUUUAAAUCACAGGGUACUAAUUUGAUAUACUUUAAAUCACAGAGUACUAAAAUAAAAAAGUACGAAACCACAGCGAGAUUUUUUGAAGUUUUUCCUAAAGUAAAUAUCACCGUGAUUUAUAAAAUUUUACAAAUUACUACAUUGUGCUUUGUAAAUAUAUUAUUUUACUAUUCUAUUUAGUGACAUACUUUUAAGAUAAGAUAAGAUAAAAAUAAAAUAGUAGGAUACCAAAGUGUUAUUUUUUUUAAUCACAUAAUAACAAAGUGAGAUGGGUGAAGCCACUAAUGGGUUAAUGAAGUUUUUCUAGAAAAUUAUAUAAGUUUAAAUCCUUAAUUUAAAAUUAUGUGAAAUAAGCCUGAAACUUUGGAAUGGUGAUUCAAUUUGGGAUGCAAAAGCUUUUAUAGUGAUUUGACAUAUCAUAUUGAUUUUAUGUCUAAAUAUUUUAUCUAAAUUUUAAAUGCCAUAAUGACUACAGAAUUAAAUAAAGCCGAGCUCCGUCCCAAGAGCUACAAAAGUUCACUAUUUAUUGGACCGUGUUUUUUCACACAUGGUUUUAAUUUUGGGAAAAUUUCCUGUGUGCCCCUCUAAAAGCAUGUAUUUACACGCAUGCCCCUAUAAAAAUUGAAAUAUCUUAAAUGCCCUUCUAAAUAGAGAAAACUUUCAAAAAUACCCUUCAAAACACAGUUUUGUUAAAAUCUACAGUAACAGCAACCAAAAUACCGAUUUUACCUUUUUCAUAAUUAACUUUCUAAAUGUUCCAACUAUUACUAAUGAAAGGUUAAUUUCAUUCAUACCCUCUAAACGUUCAAAAUAUUAUAAAUAUUCCUAUAAAUUUGAUUAUAUCACAAAUAUUAAUAAAAGUCAAUUCACACUGUUAUUUAGUACAUUUGCACUUCUCUAACCUUGAUUAUAAAAUUUAUCAGAUAAUCUGANNNNNNNNNGAACACGAGCCGACCCCAGCUCGCUCGUGUUCGGCUCGUUGACACUCCUAGGUGUAGGCGCUAAUGUCAAUAGCUAAAUUAAAAUUAUUUAGAUGUUUAAAUAUUAAACAACAAAUUUCAAAAAAAAGUUGCAUACCGAAAUAAAACUCGAUUAGAAGUUCAAGGAACUAGCGGUGCAAUUUAUCCUAUUUUGAUGCUCAAACUAUAAGACGUUGCUUAUACGAAAAUAAUAUAAUAUUUUAAUUAUUAUCAUAUCAUCAAUUAUAAUAUUAUUAUAUCACUUUCAAAUUAGUAAGAUAAAUUGAUUUGUAAAAUUUAAUUAUAAUAAUUUUAAAAAAAAUUGAAUUAAUAUUAUAAUAUAUUAAAAUUUGAGGCAAGUUGUGUUCUCAUGCUUUACAGAUCGUGCAAGCGACACUGAGAACUCCCCACGUAAACAAGAGGUUAUUUUGCAUGGGUGAAAAUCUAAACCAUUUCUCUUUCUUUUUUUUUUUUUUUAGAGAGAGAUAGGUAGUACGCUAUCGCUUCGUUUAUUUCAAUUAGAAAUAAACUUAGCUGAAAAUGUGAAUCAAUUAGAAUUCGAAAUUGUGACCUCGGGUACUAACAUCUAAGCCUUUUGUCACUUGCUCAGGGGACGGUCGAUAUCUAAAAACAUUUCUUAAUUUCCAAAUUUAGAGGAAAAAAUAAAAAUAAAAACCCAUAAAUAUUAUAAUUGCCUUUUUAAAUGUUCCGACUAUUACUAAUGAAGGGUUAAUUUCAUUCAUACCCCUCUAAACGUUCAAAAUAUUAUAAAUAUCCCUAUAAAUCACAAAUAUCCUUAUAAAUACUAUCUUAUAAAUAUAUUCUCGUUGUUAAUUUUUAUCUCUCUACCAAAGAUCUAUUUAAUUUAGAUAGGUUAUCAUGAAUUAGUGAAAAUGUUCAUUUUAUUCUGAAUUUUUUAAAAUUUUUUGAAAGAGCACUUUAAUGUGAUGAAAUGUACAACAAAUAAACUUUCAAAACUGUCCCUCACUAGUAAUUAGUUUAGAUAAUGAUACAAGUAUUCAAUUUAAAUACUAUUAAAAUAUUAAUAAAAGUCAAUUCACACUGUUAUUUAGUACAUUUGCACUUCUCUAACCUUGAUUAUAAAAUUUAUCAGAUAAUCUGAGUUUUUUUUAAAAAAAUUUGUAAACAAUGCUAAAUCGUUUUAUUGUAAUUUCAAAUCUAGUAAGUAAUUUUAUGCUUUAUAAUUAAUGAUAAACUUUGUAAUUUUUCAGCUAUUUAUUAUUUUCUCUCUUCAUUUUAAAAAAUUUAGAAAUAUUUAAUAAUAUUGGGUAAGAUAAAAAUAUUAUUCUUUUAGAAUAUAUAAUUCUUACAGAAAUCCAUGUGAAAAUAUAACUAAAUAACUUUUAAAUUUGUAAAACUUUUAAAUUUAUGAGGUAUUUACAAAAGUUAAAAUUAUUACUAAUAAUUAGAACAUUUAAGGGCAAUUAUGAAAAUGAUAAAAUCAAUAUUUUGAUUGUUGUUACUGUAGAUUUUAAUAAAAAUAUGUUUUGAAAGAUAUUUUUAAAAGUUUUUUAUAUUUAGAGGGGCAUUUAGAAUAUUUCAACUUUUAUAGAGGCAUCCAUGUAAAUACUUACUGUUAGAGGGGCACAUAGGAAAUUGUCCCUAAAAAAAAAUAGCCACGUGGAGAAUGCAACGUCGCUAGAAGCAAUGUUAGUCGUGCCAGUAUACUGCAAACCAAUUUUAAAAUAUAUAUUAAAAAUAAAUUUCUAUAGUACAAUAAAUUAUUUAAAUAUUUUAUAUUAUAUAUAUUAUAUCAUAUAUUAUUUGACAGUACUGAUCAUCAGACGUUACGACAAGUAUCGAAUAUAUAUUGAACAAUAUUUGGAGCAUUAGUGUGAUAUAUGAAAUCAAAAUUCCAUCACAUCCAAAAAAAAAAAAAAGGCUUGUGUCACAUAGCUAUUUAAGGAUUGAGCCAAUGGGAGCGUGCAACAUGGGGGGAAGGAAAGUUGGAUACACUUAGUAUACCAUAAAUCAACUCUAAAAUAUGAAUUAAAAUUAAGUUUCUAUAGUACAAUAAAUUAUUUAAAUAUUUUAUAUUAUAUAAAUUAUAUCAUAUAUUAUUUUACAGUAGUGAUCAUCAGAUGUUACGACGAGUAUCGAAUAUAUUUUGAACAAUAUUUGGAGCAUUAGUGUGGAUAUAUGAAAUCAAAAUUCCAUCACAUCAAGAAAAAUGGCUUGUGUCACAUAGCUAUUUAAGGAUUGAGCCAAUGGGAGCAUGCAACAUGGCCGGAAGGAACGUUGGAUACACUUAGGCUGCGUUUGGUUCAGAUAUAAGUAAAAACUGCUUGUUUCAGGAAUAGGUACAAGUUCAGAUAUAAGCAGGAACUAGACCAAUUUUACGUUUGGAUGAAAAUUGAGUUGUUCCUAAGAUAAAGGUAAAUAGCGUUUGGAUGGUUAAAUUGGAACAAGAGAAAUAAAAGUUAUAAUUUGAAAUUAAAAUUAUAUUAUCUAAUUAAUUAACAUCAAAAUAUUACUUAAAAAUAAAUUAUUAAUAAAUAAUUAUAAAUAAUNUUAAAAAAAAUUUUGUAAACAAUGCUAAAUCGUUUUAUUGUAAUUUCAAAUCUAGUAAGUAGUUUUAUGCUUUAUAAUUAAUGAUAAAACUUGUAAUUUUUCAGCUAUUUAUUAUUUUCUCUCUCCAUUUUAAAAAAAAUUUAGAAAUAUUUAAUAAUAUUGAGUAAGAUAAAAAUAUUAUUCUUUUAGAAUAUAUAAUUUUUACAGAAAUCAAUGUAAAAAUAUAACUAAAUAACUUUUAAAUUUGUAAAACUUUUAAAUUUAUGGGGUAUUUACAAAAGUUAAAAUUAGUACUAAUAAUUGGAACAUUUAAAAGGGAAAAUAUGAAAAGGGUAAAAUUGGUAUUUUGAUUGUUGUUACUGUAGAUUUUAAUGAAAAUGUGUUUUGAAGGGUAUUUUUGAAAGUUUUCUAUAUUUAGAGAUGGGAUAUUUCAAUUUUUAUAGGGGCAUCCAUGUAAAUACUUACUGUUAGAGGGGCACACAGGAAAUUGUCCUUUUAAUUUUACUCUGUGUGAAUGUAGAUGCUCUUGUGCAUUUAUUAUUUUUCUAUAAAAAUUCAACUAUUUUCUCUAGUUUUUUAAGUAUAUUUGACAUGGGAUAGUACAAUUAAAAUUGAUGCAAUUUUUUACAUAUGCAAAAAAUAAAUGUGACACAGACUAAGCAAAGAAUAAAUAUUUAACCAAAUACUAUAUGAUUUAUUCUAUUUGUAUUUUCUUUGCAUCUACGUAGCUGGGUACUGCUUAAGAAUUUAGCGUCAAAAGCCUUCUUUAUUUUGAUCAUAUGACCGAAUAAAAAGAGGAAAGGAUAAUUAACAUAUUAUUUCUGUUUGAUUCGAUGAUAUUUGCUAACUGUCAAACUACUAUGACUAUCUAUUUUGACAAAUUACCGCAACCAAAAACUAGUAUGCAUAAUACAAUUCUAUACAUGACGCUACGUGAUUAGAAAAAGUUUCCAAAAUUAAACUCUUCUAUCGUAAAAAAAAAGAAAGAAAAAAAAAACACUAUAUAUAUAGUGGCACAGUUUAAGUAGAUAAGAAGAUACUGCUGGUUAAAAUAAAAUCAAUAAACAAUAAAAUUUGGAAGGAUAAUAAUAUAGUUAUUCCGAAAAAUAAACAAACUUUAUUGGUCAAUUAAUGGCAAAGGAUAUAAUUCAAAUUCCUAAAGUUUGAAGGAUAUAUAUACAAAUACUAAACUAUAGAUACAACUACAUAAUUUCAAGACUGGACCUACUAUACUCUUACGUGUAUAGCUAUGUUUAUACUUAUUAGUUUUCGGCCAUUGAAUGAAGAAAUGUGCGGAUAAGAUGAUAGUAGUUUCUUAGGGUUGAUUGAAUGGUUAGUUGAAUAGUAUGAUCUAACGGAAAAAAAUAAUCAAAGCAAUGGAUCUAACGACCGAAUAUUUAUGAGAACAAAUGGUCUUAUACUCAUAAGAGUAUAGUAGUCAGACUCUAAUUCCAAAUAUUUGUAGUGGGCAAUGUAUGCAAAUUUUUCUAUAUCUUUUCCUAAGGAAGGAAAUAACUGUUUUGGCCAUGUGGUUUGAUUCAAUGCUUGGGGUGAAUGCUACGUUGGUUUAAUGGGUUCAGUGGCACCAUCAAAUACUUUCUUUGUGUGAGGUUCUGAUUCAUUUGCUGCAAGAACCAUUCAUUGUAACCAGUAAUAGCAAAAUGUGAGCUCAUCUUUGCAUUAUGUUGCAAGGAUUAUUUAGUGUAAUUAAGGGAUGAAUCGAGUCGGAUAUUAUCCGUCGGAUCCAGCUUGUAAAUCUUAGAUUUGUCGGAUGCGGAUUUAGAUUUGCUUAUAUGAAUUGAUUGCAGAGUGUAUCACCAUUAAGGUGCGCUUAUUUUGAUGCAGAUAUAUACAAGAUGAAAUGGUUUAAAUGAACUAAAUCCGAAUUUCCAUACGGCAUGUUAUAAAGGUAUUGUAUCAAUGAUGCAAUGUUUAAGUUGAGGGUUAUUAAGUUGUAGAUGAUUGGUAAGAUUCUGAAAUUUUGGGAACUAAAAUAUUCAUGGGUAUCAUUUACUCAAAUCCAAGUUUCCAAAGGAAUAUAUAUAUAUAUAUUUGAAAUUAUUUGCGAUGGAGAUCAAGUCAAAUUUUUCUUGACCCAAAUGUGAUCCGACCCAAAUGAUUGUAUAAUUUUUCGUAAAUACACGUAUUUACGUAUUUUGGGUUUAUGAAACAUAAAAUAUUAUGUGAAAUUACAAAAAUCUUAAUAUAUCAAUUGAUAUGUUAACAAAAAUCGGUCUAUUAAUAUUGCCACUUGUGCGCAUGAUGAAUAUAAAAAAAUAAAGAUAAAUAUAUAUUGAAUCAAUUACUGUUAAAUAUUAAAGAUUAGCCGGAAUUGAAUUUACGACCUUAAAAUAUAACAAAAAGAUUUAACUCGUUUAAUACUAAUAGUGGUAUUGCAUCUACGGGAACGGACCCAAAAAUACACAUAAACAUUCCAUUCUUGUGCAUUGUGGGUAUAAAAGACGAGACACGUUAAAUUGAUAGAUAAUGUAAAAAAAUCAAGUAUAAUGUGAGAACCUGUUAAAUGAUGUAUGAGUUUAAUCUUAUCUUUAAUAUUAUAUUAUUCAAAUGGUUGAUCAAAUAAAAAAUGAUUUAUAUAUAUGUUAACAUUUCAUUCAUGUGGAUUGUGAAUAUAAAAGACGAGAAAUGUAAAAUUAAAAUAUAGUGAAAAAGAAUCGAGUAUAAUGUUAGAACCUGCUAAAUAAUGAAUAGCUUUAAAAGUAGCUUUAAUACUGUAUUAUCCAACUGAUCAGUUAAAUAAAAUAUAGCCGAAAGAGCUAUGCUACUAUAUUUUCGAAAACACGCAAUUGGCUUCGUUCGGCAUGAUUUACAGUUUUGAAGCUAUUUAGAAACUAAAUUUUAUAAUUUUUUGAUUUCGUUUAUCUAGUAAAUAAAUAGCUUUACAAUGAACGAUUGAAAAUAAAAAUUUCAUAAAAAAACAAAAAAUAAAAUUUGAAUCAAAAUUAUUGAUCUUACUAUUGAUGACAAGUAUAAUUUUCUAUUAAAAUUUUACGUAAUUUAAAUUUUUCUAUAUUAUUGAACUUAAUAUGCCUACACAGACCUUUAAAAUAAGAAUUUAUGAAACUCUUUGAUAUUUGACAAAUAAUAUUUAAAAUUUAUAAAAUUUAAUUUAUAAAUAAACCGGCAGAAAAAUUAGAUAUCUAUUCAAAAAAUUAAUUUAAAAAAUAUAAAAAUUAUUGCACUUUCGAAAGCAUAAUAAUAUGGCUCUAGUCCAAAUAUAUAUAUAUAUAUAUAUAUAGAGAGAGAGAGAGAGAGAGAGAGAGAGAGAGUGUGAGGUUUUUAUGCUUUUGGAAGCACGGAGUCUUUCGUGCUUCUAGGUCGUUUUUCAUGUUGCAACUUUCGAAUCGUCGAUCAGCUCCAUUAAACUUGAUCUAGAGUAUUUAAAGUAUCUAGAAAAUAAAUUUUAUAAUUUUUUGAUAUCAUUUGCCUAGUAAUCGAAGGGGCUCAAAAUCAAUAAUUUUAAAGGCCGUAGUGAGCCGUUUGCAAGUUUAACGGUAUAGAAAUAUUCAAAUCACGUGUAAUUUUGAUAGAAAAUUUUUUAUACUAUAUAAAACAAGAUCAAUAUCUUUGAUCUAAAAUUUUAAUGUCAUAUUAUCACGUUUUGUAAGAUUUUUAUUUUCAACCGUUAAUUUUGAGCCCCUUUAUUCACUAGGCAAAUAAUAUCGAAAAAUCGCAUAAUUUAUUUUCUAGAUAUUUCAAAUACUCUAAAUCAAGUUUAACGGAGCCGAUCGACGAUUCGAAUGUCGUAACAUAGAAAAUGACCUGAAAGUACAGAAGACUUCGUGCUUCCAGAAGCAUAGUAGCCUCACUCUCUCUCUCUCUCUCUCUCUCUCUCUCUCUCUCUCUCUCUCUCUCUCUCUAUAUAUAUAUAUAUAUAUAUAUAUAUAUAUUAACAUGUCCCUUAUAGUCUCCAAAAUGACUAAAAUUGGUAAGCCUAAUUUUUGUCGGUAGAAACAGAUGAUUGGACUAAUGCGAUUCCAUUUUGAAGUGAAAGAGAGUCAUAAUUGAGAAUAAUCAUUGCACUUCUCAUUUCACAUGGCAUAUUACAUCCCAUUAUUCAAAAAUUUAUAUUUUUUUAAAAAGGUUUUACUACUAAAGAUUAAUAAGAUAAAUGAGUAUAUUUAAAUCUUUGAAAGAGUAGAUUACAAGAUUUACACUCAUGUUAAGUCUAUAAUAACAUUACUCUGAAUCAAAUAUUAAAAAUUUUUAUGCCAAUAGUCUCACAUCAAAUAAAUAUAAGAAAGUACAGAAUUGAUAUAUAUAUAUAUAUAUAUAUAUAUAUAUAUAUAUAUAUAUAUAUAUAUAUUCAAAAGGGCAAAGCUGACUAAUGGGCUCGAUCUUUCUCGUAAUCAUUCAUAUAAAGUAAAGACAGGCCUCGCGUCAGAGCGCUUAUCGGCGGCUUGCAACAUCACAUCUGGAACGACCGAUCUAUGAAUAUAGAGCUUUCCGCGUAUAAAUAAAAAGAAGUAAGAUAAGUAAGAAUAAGAUUUGGAUUUUGAAAGGAUUUUUAGCCUAGAUAAAGAAUUGGAACUGAAAGAGUCUUUCGCUCAUGCAUUUCCUUCAGGCAGGAAAUAGGUGUCGAAAGCUCAUAACGAUCGCUAUUCAAUUAUGCUGCUACACAGAAAGGUGUGAUUAGUCAUAGUCAAUGUAUUUGAAGCGUGAAUGGUGUAUUUUAUACAGGGCCAAGUCGUCCAUCAAUUGAAGAUUAUAGGCGCAUUUCGACGAGCGAAUCAUUUCGUUUAUAUGAUGCAGUCGUCGAAUAGCUUUUUUAUUAUUAAAAUGAUUCAAUAAAGAGAAUACAAUAAACCUAUUCUAUUGUAUUGAAAUGUCAAUUCGUGAAUAAAUAAGACAGGCUUAGCUACCUACAGUAAGUUGAGAGGAAGCAUAAGCUAAGCAGCCAAAGUCGAGUAGGAAGCAAAGGAAGUUGUNUAUAUAUAUAUAUAUAUAUAUAUAUAUAUAUAUAUAUAUAUAUAUAUAUAUAUAUAUGGGUAUAGACUAUAAAACUUAGUCCCUGUUUAGAUAUAUAAAUAUCUUAUUUGUAUUCAAUAAAUGAAAAGUAUGAUCAAAUAGCUAGAUAUAAUACAAUGUUAGUGGAUGUUAGAGCUUCAUCUCGUAGGCAAAAUAUACUGUCCGAUCAAAUCACAUAUGCUAAGACCUUUUAAGAAGAAAAAACAAAAUUUCGUACCUUCCAAUAACAUAUUAAAUUUUUUAUACUGAAUAAAUUAAUUAUCGUUGGAUAAUUUAUUCUGAUAUCCAUACAAGGCCACUUGAAUGCAUGAAUAUCUUCUUCCGUAUAUCUAUUUGACUUAUUUAAGAAAUUUAUACAGUUGAAUAAUAAGGAGUGCGCUCAAAUGUUUAAAAUGAAAUAUCAUAUUCGGUCUCCAAAUUAUUUUUUUUCAAAAUAAGAUAAGAUAUAUCGUGGAUGAAAUAUGCUAUCCAACAAAUUAUGCAUAGCAAAAUUUUCGAAGAAGCAAAAAUGAAACUUUUUAUUUAGAAUUAUAGUAAAAAAUUUUCAUACAAAAUAAGUUAUUUUUAGAUAACUUAUUCUAAUAUCCAAACAAAGCCAUGAGCUUUUAAAUUGUAUGGUUUUAUUGGAUAUGUCAUACUCUUUGCGACAUGCGGGUUUAGGUUGGAUCAAAACUCCCUAACACCUAACAUGCCCUUAGAUUAUAUUGUUUGAGAAGUUAACUUCAGAUAUAUAGAUUUGGAAUUUGAAGCGAUUAGAUUCUUUAAGAGAUCUGGUGAUCCUUCUGAUUAUUAUGAUGAGAAUAAUUUUUUCACUUUCUUAGUGAUUUAUAAACUAUAAUCUAGUUAAUUUAAAUCCAAAAUUGGGCCCUAGCUUGCUUGUUGUGUAGAAACCAAAUGGACCGCAAUGGAGCCUAUAGUUGUCGCUUUGGGCUUUUUACAUGAUGAGCAUUUCAUAGCCCAUAAUUAUAAUUUGAAAUUUGCAGAAAAAAUUAUGUCUUUAACAGUACUAAUUUUAUUGGCCCAAUUUUUUAAUCUUUCCAAAGAAUUAGAAAUUGUCCAAAAAAUUAUGAGUUUUAAAAAGGACUUUUUUUUUUUUUCCUGUCAGUUUGGCCCAAUUUUAAAUUAUUUUUUAUGAUGGGACAUCUGGAUUGACGAUCGGCUAUAUUAAACAUGAUCUACACUAUUAAAAAUAUCUGAAAUUUAUUAUUAAGAUUUUUUAAUAUUAUUUAUUUUUAAAAUAAAAAACCUCUAAAUGAACAACUGACUCAUAAAAUAAGUAAAUAAUAAUAAUAGGCUUAAUUUCGUAUUAUAGAUACUCACUUGCUUUAAAUAGUAAAAAAAAAAAAUUUCGAUCAAAAUUUUACUAGAUUUGAAUUUUUUGUACCGUUGAACUUACAGAUACAUUACAUCGGCCAUCAAAAUUAUCAAGUUUGUGAUCUUGUAAUUGCUAAUUAGAUGAUGUUAAAAAAAUAUGAAAUUUGAUUUCUAAAUAUUUUCAACAGUAUAGAUUAUAUCUAAUUGUGCUGAUCAUCAAUUUCAAUAUCUAAUCAUAGAAAACAGUUUGGUAAAACGGAGGCGUCAGUACCACUAAUAGUAUACAAAUUGGACUUCUUCAAAAAAUAACUCCAUCUAUUGGCAGAGGGAAAAGAUUAGGUCAAAAAAAGCAUUUUUAAUCUUCGUUAAUCUUUCUCUGUUCACGCUAUUUGGGAAAAGAGAAAGAUGAUGUAUGUAGACGUAGAGCACCAAAUACGGUGGUGCCGUAAACGAGAUGCAUGGGUUCGAGCGUGACCCGUCACCCGAGAAGGCCACGUCCCAAUCAAGUGUGGUGGUCCGUCGCAUGUCUAAAACGAUUCGAAUCCAAAUUUCUUAUUCCGUUUCUCCCAACCUCUUUUUUUUUUUUUCUUUUAUUUUUUUUAUUGCUGAUACUUGAGAAAAAAAAACUCGUCUCAGACUCGAAAAUAAACCGAGUAAAUUUUUUAGUGACUCUGCUAAAAAUGCCUAUGUUUUAAAUUUUAUACAUACUCCAAUUUUUUAACUUUAUAAGUGAUUGAAAUAUCUAGUAUUAUUAUAUUAUAUAUAUAUUUUUUAUAUAACUUAUUUUUAGGGUAAACUUUAAAUAUUAUCUUCAUGAUUUUGUACUUUCUCACUUUAAUAUCCUAUAGUUUAAAAUGUAUCAAUUUAAUAUUAUAUGGUUUUAUUUAUUUAUUUUUCUUCAGUUUAUUCGUUAAUAUUUCGUUAAAUUAUAUACAAAAAAUUUCAAGUACACUAUCUAGAUUUAUCGAAUAUUCACUUUAUUAACUUUUAGUUUUAACUUUGUCAAUAAUUUAACGAAAAAAAAUUAGUAAAGAAAAUAAUAAAAAAAAAGAAAUCACGAGAUAUUAAAUUAAUAUAUUUUAAAUCGCAAGAUAAUAAAAUAAAAAAAAUAUGAAAUCAUAGGGAUGAUAUUUAAAAGUUUUUCUUAUUUCUAUUAUACUACAGUCUACUUUAUAGACAUUGUUUCACUUCUUACACUAUAUUAUUAUUAUUUUUUUCCAAAGGAAACAUUCCACUAUUCCUUUUCACUACAACAAAAACGAUCUAUAGCGACACUUUUAAAUGUAGGUACAUGUCAAAAAAGUGCUGCUAACUAAAAUUACCGACACUUUUAAAAAGUGUUGCUAUAUAUGGGGUCGCUAGGUAUAUAGUGAUAAUUAAAGAGUGUCGCUAUAAUCUAAAAGAGUGCUGCUAAUUUACCAACACUUAUUUAAGCAUUUAGCAACCUUCGAAACUCUAUCUCGUUGGCUGCGGUGGUGGAGGAGGAAGACAGGAAAGGCUUUUCGUCUAGAAUUUCAGUGGAUUGAGUGAAGAGAGAAGAAAAGAUGGUAAUUGAUUUUUCUUUUUUUUUUCUUUUCUGUUUGUAAUCGGGCCAAAUGGACUGGGUGUGGUGGGUUGAGUAGAGUAAUCUUUUAUUUUUGGUUGGAUUGGGCUUUAUAUUUAGGCAUUAGUAGAUAUUUUUUUAAGUUUUAGGAUAAUGGGACACAUACUCAAAAGUGUCCCAAACAUGUGUCCCUAUAACCUAAUUCUGUUGUAGUGUUUAUCAAUUCCUACAUUAUAAACAAUAAAACACCUUUAUAUAUAUAAUUGUUACACUAUAAAA
rnacentral:lncRNA from 1 species